rnacentral:rRNA from 1 species
UGGGGAAUAUUGGACAAUGGGGGAAACCCUGAUCCAGCAAUGCCGCGUGAGUGAAGAAGGCCCUAGGGUUGUAAAACUCUUUCACCCGUGAAGAUGAUGACGGUAGCGGGAGAAGAAGCUCCGGCUAACUCCGUGCCAGCAGCCGCGGUAAUACGGAGGGGGCAAGCGUUGCUCGGAAUUACUGGGCGUAAAGCGCGCGUAGGCGGUGCACCUAGUCAGGCGUGAAAGCCCCGGGCUUAACCCGGGAACUGCGUUUGAUACUGGUGCGCUAGAAUCCGAGAGAGGGCAGUGGAAUUCCCAGUGUAGAGGUGAAAUUCGUAGAUAUUGGGAAGAACACCAGAGGCGAAGGCGGCUGCCUGGCUCGGUAUUGACGCUGAGGUGCGAAAGCGUGGGGAGCGAACAGG